UCAGCCGGCUGAAGUGGAGUGCACUGAACCUAGCUAGUAGGCCACUGGGGCUGGCCCUCCUCUUUCUUAAUGACUGGCUUCCAGGAAUACUGCUUCCACUCCUUGAGCUGAUUCAUGAUAUUGUGACAUGAAGGUACAGGGCCAGAGGCUGUGUCACGACAUGAACAUAUCCUGUGGUUCCCAGUACCAGAAUGGAGAUUCCAGGAGGAUCCACGUCACGGAGUUGUGAGGGGUGACUGAGAGAAGUCGUGGAGAGCGUGAAGCACAGGAACGGGCCCACAGGAAGUGCCCAAGAAAUGGAAGCUUUAUACCGUCAUUGUCAACGAGAAAAGCAAAAAGCCCACUUUUCCUGCAAAAAGAAAUCGUAUAUUUAUACAAAUCCUAUUGUUAUACUUAUUAUUUAUGGUCAAUUUUAAAGACAUAAA
rnacentral:lncRNA from 1 species